rnacentral:tRNA from 1 species
AAUGAAGUGCCUGAUUAAAGGGUUAUCUUGAUAGGGUAAAUAAAGUAAUUAAAUUACCUUCAUUA